rnacentral:rRNA from 1 species
GACGAACGCUGGCGGCGUGCUUAACACAUGCAAGUCGAGGGGGUUCGUGGGGCAACUCACGGAUCACCGGCGAACGGGUGCGUAACACGUGAGCGACCUGCCGUACCUGUGGGGGAUAGCCGGCCCAACGGCCGGGUAAUACCGCAUACGCUUGUCUUGGGGCAUCCUGGGACAAAGAAAGCUCUGGGGGCAACCCUGGGGCGCAGGACGAGGGGCUCGCGGCCUAUCAGCUAGUUGGCGGGGCAACGGCCCACCAAGGCGGUGACGGGUAGCUGGUCUGAGAGGAUGGCCAGCCACAUUGGGACUGAGAGACGGCCCAGACUCCUACGGGAGGCAGCAGUGGGGAAUCUUGCGCAAUGGUCUAACGACUGACGCAGCGACGCCGCGUGAGGGAUGAAGCUCCUCGGAGUGUAAACCUCUGUUGCCCGGGACGAAUAGCGGAUUAUUCCGACUUGACGGUACCGGGUGAGGAAGCACCGGCUAACUCCGUGCCAGCAGCCG